rnacentral:rRNA from 1 species
UACGAAGGGGGCUAGCGUUGUUCGGAAUUACUGGGCGUAAAGGGCGCGUAGGCGGUUUUGUCAGUCAGGCGUGAAAGGCCCGGGCUCAACCUGGGGACUGCGCUUGAUACUGCGAGGCUUGAAUCCGGGAGAGGAUGGCGGAAUUCCCAGUGUAGAGGUGAAAUUCGUAGAUAUUGGGAAGAACACCGGUGGCGAAGGCGGCCAUCUGGACCGGUAUUGACGCUGAGGCGCGAAAGCGUGGGGAGCAAACAGG